ensembl:lncRNA
AUGUGGCUUCCUCUAGCCUUUCCACACUCUUUUCGAGGACCCCCCAAAAACAAUCGACGAAAGAAGUAAACAACUCCAAGCAUCAUCCUAUUCGCCGAAAGGUACUCCCUAGUUUUAGCUACAUCAACUCAAACACGGACCUAUUUCCACACACGAGUUGAUACCGUUGAUUGGGGCGGGCUAAAGUGUAGAGAUACACGUCGCUUUAUCCGUUAUGGCACUGUACAACCUAACUGCACUGUGUGGCAGUUUUCAGUUGCGCACCAGUGACAAAUAAGGCUGCUCGCCAGAAACCCAAGUGCUGUAGCUAAGCUACUCUGUUGCACUGGCUGUGAAAAGUACCAAUCCUCAGCAGACCAGGGCUUCAAAGCAGAUCUCAAAUGAGACCGGGUAAGUGUUAAAGACAGACUUGUCAGUGCUGAUGGAGGAAAAGAGAUGUGCCGUGAAAUAACACUGUCUACCUGUGAAUCAUAGACUGCCUGCUGAAAUUGGCAAAAGCUUUUCAUCACGAUUUUACACUCCUCCCUCACAAUCCACCAGUGUAGUGAUAUUGUGUUAUUACAGAUUUCCGCACUCUGUACUAUCCACUGAGAAUCAAUCCCCACAUCUUUACUCACUGUCCUAUUUUGCUGAGUGUGUCUUGCUUCAUGAAGGCUUCCUUACAAACAAGAGAAAUGAGAGAGGGGGUGAAGAGAUGAGAUAGAGAGGGUGAGGGGUUAGAGGAG